rnacentral:rRNA from 1 species
GACGAACGCUGGCGGCGUGCUUAACACAUGCAAGUCGAACGGAAAGGCCCUGCUUUUGUGGGGUGCUCGAGUGGCGAACGGGUGAGUAACACGUGAGUAACCUGCCCUUGACUUUGGGAGAACUUCAGGAAAAUGGGGCUAAUACCGGAUAGGAGCUCCUGCUGCAUGGUGGGGGUUGGAAAGUUUCGGCGGUUGGGGAUGGACUCGCGGCUUAUCAGCUUGUUGGUGGGGUAGUGGCUUACCAAGGCUUUGACGGGUAGCCGGCCUGAGAGGGUGACCGGCCACAUUGGGACUGAGAUACGGCCCAGACUCCUACGGGAGGCAGCAGUGGGGAAUAUUGCACAAUGGGCGGAAGCCUGAUGCAGCAACGCCGCGUGCGGGAUGACGGCCUUCGGGUUGUAAACCGCUUUCGCCUGUGACGAAGCGUGAGUGACGGUAAUGGGUAAAGAAGCACCGGCUAACUACGUG